rnacentral:ncRNA from 2 species
GGCAUGUGUCCUUGUAUGGACCCUAUAGCAUCUUUGGAGCAGGGAAGAGCCAAUAGGCCGCUGUCCCCGCAACUGUACUGGGUGCGAACGCUCAAAUUGCCACUGUGGAACCCAUUAUAUUUAUUUAGUCCAUGGGCCAUGGGAAGGUGAGUUAGUAGGUUCCCCAGGAGCCAGGAAACCUAUCCAAAGAGCAUAUGUACA